UACGUAGGGGGCAAGCGUUGUCCGGAUUUAUUGGGCGUAAAGAGCGUGUAGGCGGCCAGACAGGUCUGCUGUGAAAACUCGAGGCUCAACCUCGAGACGCCGGUGGAAACCGUUUGGCUAGAGUCCGGAAGAGGAGAGUGGAAUUCCUGGUGUAGCGGUGAAAUGCGCAGAUAUCAGGAGGAACACCGGUGGCGAAGGCGGUUCUCUGGGCCUUACCUGACGCUGAGGAGCGAAAGCAUGGGGAGCAAACAGG
rnacentral:rRNA from 1 species